AUUGAACGCUGGCGGCAGGCCUAACACAUGCAAGUCGAACGAGUGGCGGACGGGUGAGUAAUGUCUGGGAAACUGCCUGCUGGAGGGGGAUAACUACUGGAACCGGUAGCUAAUACCGCAUACCAUCGGAUGUGCCAAGAGGGGAUUAGCCAGGAGGUGGGGUAAAGGCUCACCUAGGCGACGAUCCCUAGCUGGUCUGAGAGGAUGACCGGCCACACUGGAACUGAGACACGGUCCAGACUCCUACGGUAGGCAGGAGUGGGGAAGAUUGCACAAGGGGCGAAAGCCGGAUGCAGCCAUGCCGCGUGUAUGAGGAAGGCCUGCGGGUUGUAAAGUACUUUCAGCGGGGAGGCGUUACCCGCAGAAGAAGCACCGGCUAACUCCGUGCCAGCAGCCGCGGUAAUUC
rnacentral:rRNA from 1 species